UGUCCACUGGGGGUGGGGACCAGUGGGGGAGGCUGAUAGCUUGAGGGUCCUCAAGCAGGGAGUGGAACUUGAUUUCACAUGAAAAGAAAAAAGAAAUCUAGCUGUCUCCUCAGGUUGGAGAUUUUCCAUUCGUAACCUGAGGGCCUGCUUGUUGACGUUUCUGUCCUACCAAGUUCCCACAGCAGGGAUGAACACAGAGCAGCAGUCAGAGAAUUCAAGAUCACCCCUGAAGAAAACUAAUCUAGUUAAAAUCAAGAAAAAGAAACGUGUUGGGUCUCCCUUAUCUCAGCAAGCUGACAAGAAAAGAAAACCAUCUUUCCCUAGAGAUGCAGAAGAGGAAAAGUUCAAAUGUGAAUGCCGCUACUGCCAAGCUUGUAUGGGGACCACGUCCGGAGUCUCUGUGGCGACCAGGACAGAAGCAACCUGUCAUUCACCCUCCACAAAAAAGCUGAUACAAGACUUCCAUAACCUGACACUCAACCCUCGUUCCACCCAGCCCCCUAUUCUGCCAGAAAGAAUGCAGACAAGUGAAAACAAAUUGAAUUGGCAGCUGAAAAACAAAAAGGGGUUUCUAAAGGUUCUCCACAAAUGGACAGAAUAACUCUGGUAUUGUUAUCCUCAUGUGAAGAAGACCAGAACCUACACUAUCAUGAGUGUCAACAUCACCAAUCCCUAGGGUGAUAUGUAUUUGGUUGCAUGGUCAGUAGGAGUAUCAGCAUCCAGCCUGGUGACAAUAAUUUCAGACGGCAAGUUUCAAGCCUAUCCCACAAAUGUAUCAGUCUUUUUCUUAGUAGUUUUGACAUCCUCCCUGGGGCACUCUUGGUAGAGAUACUCUUUGGCAAUGGCCACCCCGCUGCAAUAGUUCCAUACUCACAAUGCUGCUGUUUCCAUGGGUGAGCUACCAUCUUCCCCUCAAUGAGUUUUGACUCAUCCUUCGUUAUGUUAUUGCCACUAAAGGGAGAAUGUUGAUGUAGAGUGUAUGUCUUUCUGUUCUCAAAACUGUGUCCAUUCCAUUUUAUUGGCUGGAACCCAGAAGAAUCACCAGAACUGACUGAGGUGUGUGUGUGUGUGUGUGUGUGUGUGUGUGUGUGUGUAUGAAAUUUUCAUUUCAAAUCCAUUAUAUCAGCAUAAUUCAAUAUGAUUCUUCUUUAUCUAACAUGAAUCAGAACAUAUAGAGCAUUCUUCAUGUAAUUAGUCCCCCAGUUGUUCACCAUAUAUGUUACACAACUACAUAAUACACUGAAAGCAGGGUACUGGCACUGUUACACUGGGUGUGUAGACCUCUCUGUCACUGUAUCAUGUAUGUAAAUUCAUGUAAUGACCACUGAAAUCAAGUUUCAUCUCUUCUCUCAGAAAAAUUUUACUCAUGUUGAUUUUUGUGAUGACACCCAGCAGUAUGCUUCAACUGGGACAGCUAUUGCAUUGUCUGUUAUUUCCAUUAUCAUUUCAUUUCAUCAACGUCAUAUAAAAAUGGUCAAGCCUGUUUUUUUUCCACUCACCACCCUACCCUUAAUUCUAUAUACUUAAUUGUAUAUAUUAAGAUUCCAUUCUUUGCGAAUAUAGCUUGUAAUCAAGCUGCUUGCCCAGCACGUGUGGGCACCUAAAUUUGAUUCUCCAACACUUCCCUGCACACAAACACACACACACCUCUCUCAGUUGCUAUUAAUUUUCAUUAAUGUGUGCCAUACCACGAUUUGCAUGUGCUGUCAGUUCCUUUUCCACUCCCUUCUUGGGCAUUUUGGUUUCCAUAUUUUGGCUAGCUACUACAAAUAAAGCUGCCAAAAGCAGGAAUGCAAAGCUUUGUGAGGACAAAAGUUUUUAUUCAGGCAAAGAUCCCAAAGUACAAUCUCUGGGGGAGAGAGGCAUUCAAUAGGACAAAGACUCCAAAUUACAAACUCUGGGUGACAUGACAAUUACAGAUUUUCCUUAGUUUUAUUUAAAUAUCCAUCAAAACCACUUGUAAAACUCAGGAGGCCUGAGCUGGGUGGUGGUGACACACACCUUUAAUCUCAGCACUCAGGAGGC